CCCAGUGAGCGCACUUCCGCUUCCGGGGCUGGCACCGGAACGGCCUCUCUCCGGGGAGCCUGGUGGCCGCGCGACUCUGGAGGAGACCAACCCGGCAAGAAGAGAAAGAUAUUCAGUGAGAACAUCCUACACUGGUUUACUCCCCAAAUACCCACAGCAGAUUGGCACGAGGCUGGAGGUCAAGGACUCAGUCUAGAUUUCCCGCGAGACACAUCUCACUAACAAAGAUCAGAGGGAACUGAAAGUGAAAGGAUGGAAAAAGAUAUUCCAAGCAGAUG